UACGAAGGGGGCUAGCGUUGCUCGGAAUCACUGGGCGUAAAGCGCACGUAGGCGGAUCUUUAAGUCGGGGGUGAAAUCCCGGGGCUCAACCCCGGAACUGCCUUCGAUACUGAGGAUCUUGAGUCCGGGAGAGGUGAGUGGAACUGCGAGUGUAGAGGUGAAAUUCGUAGAUAUUCGCAAGAACACCAGUGGCGAAGGCGGCUCACUGGCCCGGUACCGACGCUGAGGUGCGAAAGCGUGGGGAGCAAACAGG
rnacentral:rRNA from 1 species